ACCACCCACAGCUAUGGCUGGGGUAGGCGCUGCUUUCCGCCGCCUAGGUGCCUUGUCCGGAGCUGGGGCCUUGAGUUUGGCCACCUACAGGACACACGGCGCACAGUUUCCGGAUGCCUACGGGAAGGAGCUCUUUGACAAGGCCAACAAACACCACUUUUUGCACAGCCUGGCCCUGUUAGGGGUACCCUAUUUGCAGAAAACCUGUCUGGGCAGGGUUGCUGCUAGCUUCUGGAACUACCUUAUUCUGCACCAGCUUUUACUACCAGGCUCUGAGUGGAGACACUAGCAUCUAGACUCUGGGGCCUGUUGGAGGGAGGCUGCUGAUCUUGGGCUGGCUUGCCUUGACUUUUUAAGGUCUCUUGUUUAAGUGCCCAGUCCUGGCUUUUCUGGGUAA
rnacentral:lncRNA from 1 species